rnacentral:rRNA from 1 species
UGAAUACGAGAUGCUACGGCGUCGAAGCAGUCUAUGUCAUACUUCCAAGAAAAGCUCGCACUGUCAUAAACAAAUAAUGCCUGUACCAUAACCGACACAGGUGGGUAGGUAGAGUAUACUAAGGGGCGCGAGAUAACUCUCUCUAAGGAACUCGGCAAAAUGACUCCGUAACUUCGGGAGAAGGAGUGCCUUAUUUAUAAGGUUGCAAUAACAAGAUCCAAGCAACUGUUUAUCAAAAACACAGGUCUCCGCUAAGUCGUAAGACGAUGUAUGGGGGCUGACGCCUGCCCAGUGCCAGAAGGUUAAAGAAGUUGGUUAGCAUUCGCGAAGCUGAUAACUGAAGCCCUGGUGAACGGCGGCCGUAACAAUAACGGUCCUAAGGUAGCGAAAUUCCUUGUCGGGUAAGUUCCGACCCGCACGAAAGGCGUAAUGAUUUGGAUACUGUCUCGGAGAGGGGCUCGGUGAAAUAGACUUGUCUGUGAAGAUGCGGACUACCUGCACCAGGACAGAAAGACCCUAUGAAGCUUUACUGUAACUUGAGAUUGAAAUUGGACUUUACUUGCGCAGUAUAGGUGGGAGGCGUUGAUAAUAUUCUUGCGGGAUUAUUUGAGCCAUCAGUGAGAUACCACUCUUGUAAUGUUAGAUUUCUAACUUUGUAUCAUUAUCUGGUCAAAGGACAGUUUCAGGCGGGCAGUUUGACUGGGGCGGUCGCCUCCUAAACGGUAACGGAGGCGCACAAAGGUUUCCUCUGAACGGGUAGAAAUCGUAUCUAGAGUGUAAAGGCAUAAGGAAGCUUGACUGUGAGACCUACAAGUCGAGCAGGGACGAAAGUCGGUCUUAGUGAUCUGACGGUGCUGAGUGGAAAGGCCGUCACUCAACGGAUAAAAGUUACCCUAGGGAUAACAGGCUGAUCUCCCCCAAGAGUUCACAUCGACGGGGAGGUUUGGCACCUCGAUGUCGGCUCAUCGCAUCCUGGGGCGGUAGUACGUCCCAAGGGUUGGGCUGUUCGCCCAUGAAAGCGGUACGCGAGCUGGGUUCAGAACGUCGUGAGACAGUUCGGUCCAUAUCCGGUGUAGGCGUUAGAAUAUUGAGAGGAGCCUUCUUUAGUACGAGAGGACCGAGAAGGACAUACCUCUGGUGUACCAGUUAUCGUGCCAACGGUAAACGCUGGGUAGCUAUGUAUGGAGUGGAUAACCGCUGAAAGCAUCUAAGUGGGAAGCCCACCUCAAGAUAAGUAUUCU